rnacentral:rRNA from 1 species
GUCUGCAUGGAGCCGACCUUGAAAUACCACCCUUUAAUGUUUGAUGUUCUAACGUUGGCCCGUAAUCCGGGUUGCGGACAGUGUCUGGUGGGUAGUUUGACUGGGGCGGUCUCCUCCUAAAGAGUAACGGAGGAGCACGAAGGUUGGCUAAUCCUGGUCGGACAUCAGGAGGUUAGUGCAAUGGCAUAAGCCAGCUUGACUGCGAGCGUGACGGCGCGAGCAGGUGCGAAAGCAGGUCAUAGUGAUCCGGUGGUUCUGAAUGGAAGGGCCAUCGCUCAACGGAUAAAAGGUACUCCGGGGAUAACAGGCUGAUACCGCCCAAGAGUUCAUAUCGACGGCGGUGUUUGGCACCUCGAUGUCGGCUCAUCACAUCCUGGGGCUGAAGUAGGUCCCAAGGGUAUGGCUGUUCGCCAUUUAAAGUGGUACGCGAGCUGGGUUUAGAACGUCGUGAGACAGUUCGGUCCCUAUCUGCCGUGGGCGCUGGAGAACUGAGGGGGGCUGCUCCUAGUACGAGAGGACCGGAGUGGACGCAUCACUGGUGUUCGGGUUGUCAUGCCAAUGGCACUGCCCGGUAGCUAAAUGCGGAAGAGAUAAGUGCUGAAAGCAUCUAAGCACGAAACUUGC